rnacentral:rRNA from 1 species
UGGGGAAUAUUGCACAAUGGGCGCAAGCCUGAUGCAGCAACGCCGCGUGAACGAUGAAGGUCUUCGGAUCGUAAAGUUCUGUUGCAGGGGAAGAUAAUGACGGUACCCUGUGAGGAAGCCCCGGCUAACUACGUGCCAGCAGCCGCGGUAAUACGUAGGGGGCUAGCGUUAUCCGGAUUUACUGGGCGUAAAGGGUGCGUAGGUGGUCUUUCAAGUCGGUGGUUAAAGGCUACGGCUCAACCGUAGUUAGCCUCCGAAACUGGAAGACUUGAGUGCAGGAGAGGAAAGUGGAAUUCCCAGUGUAGCGGUGAAAUGCUUAGAUAUUGGGAGGAACACCAGUAGCGAAGGCGGCUUUCUGGACUGCAACUGACACUAAGGCACGAAAGCGUGGGUAGCAAACAGG